rnacentral:rRNA from 1 species
AACGAACGCUGGCGGCGUGGAUAAGACAUGCAAGUCGAACGGGACAUUUUUAGUAGUAAUAUUAGAGAUGUUCAGUGGCGAACGGGUGCGUAACACGUGGAUACAUUCCGGAAAGCGGGGAUAGCCCAGGGAAACUUGGAUUAAUACCGCAUGUGGUCGCAAGACUAAAGACGGGGAUCGAAGGACCUGUCACUUUCCGAUUGGUCCGCGGCCUAUCAGCUAGUUGGCGGGGUAAAAGCCCACCAAGGCGACGACGGGUAGCUGGUCUUAGAGGACGACCAGCCACACUGGAACUGAGACACGGUCCAGACACCUACGGGUGGCAGCAGUCGAGAAUCUUUCACAAUGGGGGCAACCCUGAUGGAGCGACGCCGCGUGGAGGAUAAGGUCUUCGGAUUGUAAACUCCUGUCAUGCGAGAACAAGGUUGCAGGGCUAAUACCCGUGCAAAUUGAUGGUACCGCAAGAGGAAGAGACGGCUAACUCUGUGCCAGCCGCCGCCGUAACAC